rnacentral:rRNA from 1 species
UACGUAGGUGACCAGCGUUGUCCGGAUUUACUGGGCGUAAAGAGCGCGCAGGCGGUCGUUCAAGUCGAGUGUGAAAGCCCCCGGCUCAACUGGGGAGGGUCAUUCGAUACUGAUCGACUCGAAGGCAGGAGAGGGAAGCGGAAUUCCCGGUGUAGUGGUGAAAUGCGUAGAUAUCGGGAGGAACACCAGUGGCGAAGGCGGCUUCCUGGCCUGUUCUUGACGCUGAGGCGCGAAAGCCAGGGGAGCGAACGGG